CGGCGCGUAAGUUAGUUAGAGAGAGAAGAGCUUCUCUUUCUCUUUAGAACACGGAUUUGCAUGCUCAAACGAGAAUGAGAUGAUAUGUUGCUAAUUAUCCUUUUAUUAUAUUAUUCUUAUAAAAACUUAAAAGUGAAAAUUCAACAGCACUAAAAUUCACACUUUAACUUCAAUUUUGCUUCAUUCCAAAACCUUUCCACCACAACUCGACUUCCCUUCAUCUCUCUCCGCGAAACAUCCCCUUUCACCACCGCCGUGUUGCCCGCUGGUCAUCCUCGCGAGCAAACCACAUAUGGUUUCAUGAAAGGUGAACCAUAAAGCCUCUGGCAAGAAAUCUGGUUGUGAUUCAAACUACAUUCAUGAUCAUGAAUAAGCUUUGAGACAGAUACAGCUCCUGCAGCCUGAACAAAUGGCCAAUUUCCUGUGGGAUUUCACCAUAGAAGCUGUUGUUUUGAAGGUUAACAUAUCUCAGAAAGGUGAGGUUUCCAAUUUCAGGUGGUAUGAAUCCAAGUAAGGCAUAC